rnacentral:rRNA from 1 species
GAUGAACGCUAGCUACAGGCUUAACACAUGCAAGUCGAGGGGCAUCAGGAAGAAAGCUUGCUUUCUUUGCUGGCGACCGGCGCACGGGUGAGUAACACGUAUCCAACCUGCCCUUUACUCGGGGAUAGCCUUUCGAAAGAAAGAUUAAUACCCGAUGGCAUAAUGAUUCCGCAUGGUUUCAUUAUUAAAGGAUUCCGGUAAAGGAUGGGGAUGCGUUCCAUUAGGUUGUUGGUGAGGUAACGGCUCACCAAGCCUUCGAUGGAUAGGGGUUCUGAGAGGAAGGUCCCCCACAUUGGAACUGAGACACGGUCCAAACUCCUACGGGAGGCAGCAGUGAGGAAUAUUGGUCAAUGGGCGCCAGCCUGAACCAGCCAAGUAGCGUGAAGGAUGAAGGCUCUAUGGGUCGUAAACUUCUUUUAUAUAAGAAUAAAGUGCAGUAUGUAUACUGUUUUGUAUGUAUUAUAUGAAUAAGGAUCGGCUAACUCCGUGCCAGCAGCCGCGGUAAUACGGAGGAUCCGAGCGUUAUCCGGAUUUAUUGGGUUUAAAGGGAGCGUAGGUGGACUGGUAAGUCAGUUGUGAAAGUUUGCGGCUCAACCGUAAAAUUGCAGUUGAUACUGUCAGUCUUGAGUACAGUAGAGGUGGGCGGAAUUCGUGGUGUAGCGGUGAAAUGCUUAGAUAUCACGAAGAACUCCGAUUGCGAAGGCAGCUCACUGGACUGCAACUGACACUGAUGCUCGAAAGUGUGGGUAUCAAACAGGAUUAGAUACCCUGGUAGUCCACACAGUAAACGAUGAAUACUCGCUGUUUGCGAUAUACAGUAAGCGGCCAAGCGAAAGCAUUAAGUAUUCCACCUGGGGAGUACGCCGGCAACGGUGAAACUCAAAGGAAUUGACGGGGGCCCGCACAAGCGGAGGAACAUGUGGUUUAAUUCGAUGAUACGCGAGGAACCUUACCCGGGCUUAAAUUGCAGUGGAAUGAUGUGGAAACAUGUCAGUGAGCAAUCACCGCUGUGAAGGUGCUGCAUGGUUGUCGUCAGCUCGUGCCGUGAGGUGUCGGCUUAAGUGCCAUAACGAGCGCAACCCUUAUCUUUAGUUACUAACAGGUUAUGCUGAGGACUCUAGAGAGACUGCCGUCGUAAGAUGUGAGGAAGGUGGGGAUGACGUCAAAUCAGCACGGCCCUUACGUCCGGGGCUACACACGUGUUACAAUGGGGGGUACAGAAGGCAGCUAGCGGGUGACCGUAUGCUAAUCCCAAAAGCCUCUCUCAGUUCGGAUCGAAGUCUGCAACCCGACUUCGUGAAGCUGGAUUCGCUAGUAAUCGCGCAUCAGCCACGGCGCGGUGAAUACGUUCCCGGGCCUUGUACACACCGCCCGUCAAGCCAUGGGAGCCGGGGGUACCUGAAGUGCGUGACCGCAAGGAGCGCCCUAAGGUAAAACCGGUGACUGGGGCU